UACGAGGGGGCGAGCGUUGUUCGGAAUUAUUGGGCGUAAAGGGUGCGUAGGCGGUUCCGCAAGUCCUGUGUGAAAUCUUCGGGCUCAACUCGAAGUCUGCACGGGAAACUGCGGGGCUUGAGUGUGGGAGAGGUGAGUGGAAUUCCCGGUGUAGCGGUGAAAUACGUAGAUAUCAGGAGGAAUACCGGUGGCGAAGGCGGCUGCCUGGUCCUACAUUGACGCUGAGAUACGAAAGCGUGGGGAGCAAACAGG
rnacentral:rRNA from 1 species